GAGUUCAAGAGUAGCUUUAACUGAGCAUGCUCUAUCCUGCAAAAUGGAGGGCCAAGCUUUUAAAUGGAGCAUAAGCAGGUGGAGGGCUCCAUGAGGUCAACUGCUUAGCUAGAUUAGUUAAAACAAUCCUAAUACUUAGGUAUUUUUAUCUUUUAAAAACAUGAUUGUGAUCACCUAUCAAGCUUACAAGGUUUUCAGUAAUCUGGGGAGAACGGUCAACCUUAAAAACAACCCAUCAGAUAUCAGCAAAUCAGAAGUGAAGAUUCUAUACCAGUGUUCCCAGAAGUUUAUUGGAUUGUCCAUGGAUGGAGAAUAUAAGAUUUUACAAAUGCUGAUGUGCACACGGGAUAACAAUGCCAAUCACAGAAAAUACCUGGGUCAAUAAGAAGCCAUGGUCCCAAGAAUGCUAUCUCAUCAGAAGAAAAAAGUCUGCUACCACUUCAACAAAUUGAGUCAGCAUGAUAUGUACAAAUUAAAAUGAAAACUGCUU